rfam:Bacillus sp. 2_A_57_CT2 genomic scaffold supercont1.3, whole genome shotgun sequence.
CUACAGCUAGAUCCAUACCCCUAAACUCCCUAGAUUCGCCAGUGCCCACAAGGCACUGGCCAUUUUUU